rnacentral:lncRNA from 1 species
UGUUCUAAAAACCUAAAUCUCUCAUUCUUCUCCUUCACGCCGCUUUGUGGAUGCUCAUACGUGGAUGCUCAUACACUCUUUAUAAUCCAGCAAUCUCUGCAGUUAAUCGAUUCAAUCCCUUGGCGUUUUAAAUCACAUUGGAGAGACGUCUAAAAUUACAUUGGGAUUUCGCUCUUUAACAUAGAGAAUCAAUAGUUCAAUGUUGACGAUAACAUGGUUAACCGAUUUGUUUAGGUGAAGUUAGAACAAGUUAUGCAAGUAUUAAAAAUUUCAAAGAGGAGUCUAGCAAGCAGUGCAUAUUAGACAAUUUUGAUUUCUAUGAAGAUCGUCAACGAAGAAUUCUAUAAAAGAAAGAAAAUAUAGCGGUUUCAGAAACAGAUGUGGGAAGGAAAACUAAAAGAGGGGAUUAUAGUGGAUAUUGUACCACCAAAAUCAUCUAAAACAGAGGUCCGAAGGUAGUACAAAAGAUGGCGAAACAUGCUGCUUAAUUAUUGGCAAUGGUAUGCAUGCUGAUGGGGUGUUGUUGAGCAGGCUUUGUAUAGGGAACGAGGCGUUGCGUAUUGUUAAUGAAGAGGGUGUUAGAGCCUUUUGGAAAGGGAAUAUGGUUACUAUUGCUCAUCGUCUUUCUUAUGCUGCUAUUAACUUCUACGCGUAUCAAAUAACUUUUAAUCAUCUAUCUUCAAUGCUUUCUUUGUCUACUCCACCUUCGCAGAUUGCUAAAAUUGCCGCUGAUUUUAUUUUCGAUUUGAUUAGUUCAUAGGGUGGAAUUCUUUGUUUGAUUGGUAACGUUGUGGGUAACGAGUAUAAAUCUCUAUAUAACUUAAGGUUAUGGUCCCUUUCUUGUUUUUUGUAUAGUUAAACUUGGUUGGUAUCAUCUAUGAGUAAGUUUGCAAAUGAGAUUUUAUAUUGGGAGAGAGAGAGAGAAAAGUAGAUGUCGUGACAAGGGUUGAGACGGGGGAGAAUCGCCGGUUUUCCGGCGACUACAACAACAUCCUCCUCCCUUGAUCUCAACAACAAAGAGACUAAAGCUAGUAAGUUUCGGAGGCGAAGAUUAAGCAGGACGUUAACACGAUCGACUUAGGUAUUCAGAUGAUCACUGAUCAGGUCUCUACCAGUGGUGACGUGGAGGUUGAACUCAGGAAGAUGUAAAAGAGAAUUCGGGCAGAUCUGGUUACGAAAACAGACGGAUUUAUGAAUGAGACGCCGGCUGCUGUAUGAGACGGAUUUAGGGGGACACACCGACGUUAGGUAGGGAAGGAUGCGUAAACACACAGUGGCAUCUGACGGCUUUCUUCGUUGGAUUUCGAAUAUGGUUUCGGUUUCACCUUCAAACUAAGGAUAAAUAUGGAGGAAAAAGUGCAAUGCCAACAUGAAUGGGUUAAGUUGUAUUCUGUUAUGCCCCAAGUAAAGGUAGAACGGGCCAUGCGGCUCUUUAGGUAAAGCCACAUGCAAGGGCGGACCCACCUUGUACGGGUCGAGUUCAUGGGAACCGAUUGAUUAUACAAAAAAUAAGUAGAGGCGAUGAUCAAUUCAUCGAGUGACUUCACUUUGUUUUGUCUCUGAAUUUUACUUGAUCUAUAUUAUCUCAUAUUUACAUUUGCUGUUAUAGUUUGAGUGUGAAUGUUGUGUGUAGAGAUUCUAAGUGAUAUUACAGAAUUAAACUCUCUUACUUUCUAUAGAAAGAUGCCAAUAUGUUAGUGAAUAUUGUAGGAUAGUCGCAGUGGGAACUUAAGUUAAGAGGCUUUCAUCGACUAAAACUUAUCCAAAAAUUCAAAGGUUUGCAAAGUUUGACUUUUUUCAGGUCAAAUUAUAUACGUUUCAGAAUCAAAUUGACAUGAUAUUUCUUUAGUUUCCGGAUAAAUUUAGUCAACUACUUGAGCUUUAGACUGUCCAAUGAAAUCUCGAAGUUGAAGUAAUUUAUAGAAUGAAAAUCAUAUGA